GCCCCAGCUGGUCAGUGGUAUCCUGCAGGGCCCGUUUUCCACACACUGCUGGGAAUACCCGCAACGGUCCUGGAUCCAUGUGCCAGGAGGUGGGCCGGAGGCAGCCAUGCCCUGACCCGCUCCUUGGCCAAAAGGAAGGAGGGGUCUAGCCUUCCAACUACAGGCCAUAAUUCAUUUCUCAGGGGAAAACCACCGUCUCGCAGGGCUGCACUCUGCUUUCCCCCCUUCUUGCUGAAGGGGGCGCCAUCACAACAUCGGUACCCCAAAUCUCUCUGCAUCAUCUCAGGCCCCAUGCUUCCAGCAGUGACACAACCAACCCAUCGUCGGGGUCCCUCCCAUGCAACAACCCCGAGCAACGGAGAAGAAAGUAAACUGUUCAUCAGAGGCUCCGGGGCAAUGGCCGGAGAGAUUCCGGCGUAUCCACGGCGAAAUGUCCCCUCCCCGUCCUCCCCCAGCCCCCACAUCCCAGGGCAGCCUUAGGCCUCCCCGUCCUCCUCUCCGUGCACCCUGUAGACCUCUCAUCCCACCUUAGGCAAUCUUGUCUGUCUGUCUUUGCUUCUGUCACCCCUUGUCAUGUGCAAGCACAUGCUUUCUAGGGAUGCAAAGACCCAAACACCUCAAUUCUGGAAACUCACUGAAGGUCAAACAUUUACUCAGCCAUUAAAAUUCCCUGUGUUAGAGUCAUUUACAUUCAUACUUGCAAGGAACACGUAACGAGGCCGGUAGACAGCAUUUUAUGGCUUUUCUCCGUCAACUCAAGUAGGCAAAAAGGAAGCACGGCUGCCAGAUAGAGCUAUUCCCUCUGGUCCUUCUCGCUCCACCAAAGAAAACAAAGAACAGAAACACCUGUGCCACCUCACGGAGUUUUGGGAGCCCCAGCAUCAGUGGGGAGGGGGGCACCCCUGCACGGAACAUGUCCAUGGCCCGGAUCGUCAACGUCCUGCAUUUCUGUGAGUUUUGACUGGAGCUGAGGUCAGUGCGGGACAAGGGAAAUGUGCUUCAAGGCUGACUGCCUGGAAGGUCUUUUCCAUUUUGGAGUGUCGACCGCGGGUCAGCCAGUCUCAGGGAAUAAGCUGUAAGUGGAGGAACCCCCCACAUUGGUCAAGAAAAAAGCAAGGACAAAGACCAAGGUCACCAGUGUAUCCGGGGCUUGGAAGGAUUUGAAACAUAGCGACAGAAAAAUCCUUUGACUCAUAACAAAAUGGAAGCUGGAAGUCAGUUGCAUAAGGGUGAUUCCGACUGGAAUGCCUCUGGAAAACAGGCAGCAAGACGUGUUUGGGACCUGGGCAGGAUUUAAUCCAUAGGACACAGCCAUGAGUUCAGCAGAUUCGGGGCGACAGGAUAAUGCUGUAUUCUUCAUCGCCCAUACCUCACCACUUGGCAUGAUUAAUGUCACCCCUGGUUCCUUCUCCCUUCCACAUCCUGUCCACAGUUUGUGUCCACAGACGCUCUGCCUUGCCCUGCAUGUGUUAUAAGGUUGAGCGGGGUUCCUCUGGAGACGGCUACAUUCAAUAGGUCUUUAAAAAACAUCCUGGCACCUUUCGAACGUGAGGUGUGGUCUAAGGAAUCGAUACACCGGCUUAGGGAACAGUUGCAGAUCAUUUUCUUGAGAAUUGAAACAUUUUUCCAUAUCAUCCCUCCAGUUGUUGGUUUCAUAGAGGGUAGAAACAACUUGAGGGAUGGUGGAAGGCAGGCCGUACCCGAGGGCUGCCCAGCAAAUCUCAUUUGGGGCCUAAUUUUGGAAAGAGAAGAGGCAGAAAGAACGAGCUUCAGGUGAAAAGCAGAAAUUAAAUUGUAUUUCUUUGAUCUUACAGGGUGCCUAAUUGACUGUCUCUCAUCAGUCGGGAAAAAAAGGGAAGAAUGUAGCAGAGAACCCCAGAACGUUAGAGCCUGAUGUACGUCACCUCUGAGUGGAAGGGGAUGUGGAAACCAGGGUUGCCCAAGGUCAGGGGCUGGGUGAGGGGGAGGGAUGGGAUGGAGCCCUGACUUUCAGCCGCUCACCGGGUCAUCAUUCUGUGUGAGCAAAAGAGGAUACUAAGUCAUAAGGGACUAAGAAGACACCCAAAAGGGGAGCCCGAGGAACCCCACCUUGACCUUGCUCUUUUUUUUGUCUGAGUCACACUUCCUCUCUUAGGAGGAGCUGAACGGUUGACUUCCAGCCCACGGUGCCUGCCCUCUGUGGCAGUGACAGUGCAGAGCAGGGCCACGCGGGCGUCACCCAAGGGCCUCUCUGUUUUUCCUGAAUGCUCUCACCACCUUGACAUCCCGGCAAUGCCCUUUACUGCACUUGUGUCCUGCUGAGAGUGUGGGUGAGGCCUGGGCUGUGCUUCACCGAAAUGGUGCUCUCCUACCUGCUCUGGAAUGUAGGCCAGCACCAUCCGUGUGUCCCGGGGGCCCCGGGCAGGCGGGGGAGCAGGGGCCGGCGUGGCACCUGGGAGGUGACACUGCGUCUCCGCCUGGCACCCUCCCUCCUCCUCGCGUUGAGGGCAGGCCCCUGAUGGCUGGGACUUCUCCUCAGCUUCGGUUCAUCUGUCUGUUUCUGCUCCCAGAGGUAAAACCAGGGGGAAGGCUUGAAGCAGGGAGGAUCUCCUUAUUACUGAUAACAAACCCGAAACAGAAGUGAUCAAUACCCCACACUUCAGCAGCUCACAGGGAGACCCUGGGUAAUGCCAGACAAAACAGCAAAGAUCUAAUUACACUGACAGAAAUAACUUACAUGGUCACAUACCUUCUACCUGUCCGUCUCCAAACCAAGUGGCCCUUUCACUUCAUGCAACAGUGAAAUAAAAUAUUUUGGGGCUGACAUUUCAAUAGGUCAGAGGUCCUGAAUACGGCUGAGCCACUCCCCCAUGCUUUUCUGGGCCACAAUUUCCCCAAUAGGAAAUGAAGGUUAAUCAUUUUCGCUUUAACUCCCAUACUCCAUCAUCCCUGCUUCUCAGAGAUGUAGUGACAAGAGAUAGUUGCAGUGUUUUCCAAACUUGUCCUAUGCCAAGAAUCACCUGGAAAACAUGUCAAGAUACAAACUCCCAGGCCAAACCCUGAAUUUACGAAGUCAGCGGUUCCAGCCUGGGCCUGGGCCUGGGCAUCUAUAGUUGUAAAGAGCUUCUGACUGCGUGUUCAGGCAAGCUUGGGAAACACUGAGGUAAUCACCACGAAAUCCUUUAGUGUUUCAAGGUACCAAGCUCUGAGCACUCAAAGGUGCAUUUAUCACUGCUAUUAUUUCAGACUAGGAUUACCAGCUUUAACAAACGAAAACACAGGAUGUGCAGUUAACUGUGAAUUUCAGAUAAACAAGGAAUGAUUUUUUUUUAGUAUAAGUAUAUCCCAUGUAAUAUUUCGAGUAUACUUAUACUAAAAAAUUAUUUUGAUCUGGCAACUCUGUCAGAUGCUAUGUGUCUCAUUAUUGUGUAAUCUGGAAAAGCAUAAGAAAAAUCUAACGGUUAGCAAAAGAUAGCAUGUCAGUAAUAGAAGAGUGUCCUUUUCACAUUCCAGUCUCUAAACCUCUCAGUUUUCUACCCAGCUCUCCUGCUUGCCAGCAAGAGGGUGCCCUGG